rnacentral:rRNA from 1 species
AUUGAACGCUGGCGGCAGGCCUAACACAUGCAAGUCGAGCGGAUGAGGGGAGCUUGCUCCUCGAUUCAGCGGCGGACGGGUGAGUAAUGCCUAGGAAUCUGCCUAGUAGUGGGGGACAACGUUUCGAAAGGAACGCUAAUACCGCAUACGUCCUACGGGAGAAAGUGGGGGAUCUUCGGACCUCACGCUAUUAGAUGAGCCUAGGUCGGAUUAGCUAGUUGGUAGGGUAAAGGCCUACCAAGGCGACGAUCCGUAACUGGUCUGAGAGGAUGAUCAGUCACACGGGAACUGAGACACGGUCCAGACUCCUACGGGAGGCAGCAGUGGGGAAUAUUGGACAAUGGGCGAAAGCCUGAUCCAGCCAUGCCGCGUGUGUGAAGAAGGUCUUCGGAUUGUAAAGCACUUUAAGUCGGGAGGAAGGGCUGUAGGUUAAUACCUUGCAGCCUUGACGUUACCGACAGAAUAAGCACCGGCUAACUUCGUGCCAGCAGCCGCGGUAACAC